AUACGGAGGGUGCAAGCGUUAUUCGGAAUCACUGGGCGUAAAGGACGCGUAGGCGGGUUGGCAAGUCAGAUGUGAAAUCCUACAGCUUAACUGUAGAACUGCAUUUGAAACUGCUAACCUAGAGUAUGGGAGGGGGAGAUGGAAUUAGUGGUGUAGGGGUAAAAUCCGUAGAUAUCAUUAGGAAUACCGAAAGCGAAGGCGAUCUCCUGGAACAUAACUGACGCUAAGGCGUGAAAGCGUGGGGAGCAAACAGGAUUAGAAACCCCUAGUAGUCC
rnacentral:rRNA from 1 species